CCAUAUAAAUCCAACUCCUUACGACACUCGACGGAAGUGCGCUCCCCCACCAAACGGAACAGUACCGGCGGCAAAAGAAACGAACAGAAUACUCAAUUUCGACCAGCUGAAUAUUCCUCAUCCGACGAUGAAUUUCCUAAGCCGAGACGAGGAGUUAUCGAAAGAAGACCUCGACAAAGACAAAGACACAGCCGCAGAGGAAUCCGAAUCCAAACGCCUUUUACCAUCUCAAUCUCCUUCCUCGUCCUUGUCCGACGAUGAAAACGAGGUCGCAUUCGAAUCCCGAGAGAAAAUCGUGAUCGUCGACGUGGACAUACCGGAAUCCCUCCAAAAUGUCGAUUAUGUCCCUCCUUUUUCCUGGAAAAAGCUCUGGUUGUUUACGGGCCCGGGUUUUUUAAUGAGUAUAGCGUUUUUAGAUCCGGGUAAUUUGGAAGGAGAUCUCCAGGCUGGGGCAAUUGCGGGUUACUCUUUGCUUUGGUUGUUGAUGUGGGCUACCGUCAUGGGCCUGCUGAUCCAGUUGUUGUCGGCUCGGCUGGGGGUGGCAACCGGUCGGCAUCUCGCGGAGCUUUGCCGGGAGGAGUAUCCGAAUUGGGCUCGGUUUGUGCUGUGGUUCAUGGCGGAGUUGGCGCUUAUUGGAGCUGAUAUUCAGGAGGUUAUUGGGAGUGCUAUAGCUAUCCAAAUUUUGAGUCAUGGGGCUUUGCCGCUAUGGGCUGGAGUCUUAAUUACCGCAUCGGAUUGUUUUAUCUUAUUAUUCCUGGAGAAUUAUGGCGUCAGGAAAUUGGAAGCUGUUUUUGCUGUUUUAAUUGCUACUAUGGCUUCAUCAUUUGCUUGGAUGUUUGGUGAUACAAAACCCAAUGGAAAAGAUUUACUAAUAGGUAUCUUGGUUCCUAGACUUAGCUCAAAAACAAUUCGGCAGGCUGUGGGGGUUGUGGGUUGUGUCAUAAUGCCUCAUAACGUAUUCUUGCAUUCUGCUUUGGUACAAUCAAGAAAGAUUGAUCCCAAAAAGAGAGGCCGGGUUCAAGAGGCACUAAACUACUACUCAAUUGAGUCAUCUGUUGCGCUUCUGGUUUCCUUCAUGAUCAAUUUGUUUGUGACAACUGUCUUUGCUAAGGGAUUCUAUGGAACAAAACAAGCAAAUAACAUAGGACUAGUUAACGCAGGGCAGUAUCUUCAGGAGAAGUAUGGUGGAGGAGUCUUUCCGAUUCUCUACAUAUGGGGUAUUGGUUUGCUGGCAGCUGGACAAAGCAGUACAAUAACUGGCACAUAUGCUGGGCAGUUUAUAAUGGGAGGUUUUCUUAACCUUCGUCUGAAGAAGUGGUUGAGGGCAUUGAUCACACGGAGUUUUGCAAUUGUGCCAACUAUCAUUGUGGCUCUUGUGUUUAACACAUCUGAAGCCUCGUUGGAUAUAUUGAAUGAAUGGCUUAAUGUGCUUCAGUCAGUGCAGAUUCCUUUUGCACUUAUCCCACUUCUAACCUUGGUCUCCAAGGAGCAGGUCAUGGGGGUCUUUAGGAUUGGGCCUAUUCUUGAGAGAUUGGCAUGGACUGUGGCUGCCCUGGUAAUAAUAAUCAAUGGGUAUCUUUUGCUGGAUUUCUUUGUUUCUGAAGUCAAGGGACCACUGUUUGCACUUUUCAUCUGUAGUUGGACAGCUGCAUAUAUAGCGUUCAUUGUUUAUCUUGUUGCACGGGGUGGUGGUCUUCCUUCCACUUGGUUCAGCAUAGAACUAUCCAAGAGAUUUUCCGCCACUGGAAGUUAGAGUUGAGAAAAUCCUGUGAGUGCUACAAAUAACGAAUUCUCAGAAUUAUAGAGCUUCACAAGCCUCCAAAAAGCAUGAUGGCUAUUGGUCGAUAUUUCAAAAAUUGAAACAUUCUUUUGGUGCAUCAAUAAGCUUGAAUACACAUAUCCAAACAAUAGAAAGCAGCUGAUUCAAGAUCUACCGCUUUGCUUGCAGAGCUGCACAGAUUUGAAUUUCAUCUCAUAAAUCAGGAAUUUUGUCGAUCACUUAUCGUGAUAAAACAGAGUGCAGACCCUGAAAACCCAAAAUCAUGGCCAAGAUUCGUACUGAGGGUUGACCAACACGUGCAAUUCCUUAACUUCUGGGCAAUCGUGAGCAGUUCCCUGAAAGUUGGGAUUCUUCUGAAGGUAGCUAAAGAUUUCACCCGUGGAGCAUUUGAGUUGAAACCAUUUACGGAUGAGAGAGCAGACAAAAAUCGGCAUCAAGUUGCAAUUUCAAUGUUACCAACAGCAGAAGCUGGAACUAGCAAUUCUGCCAAGAAACUGACUCUAAUUCCAGUUAAAAGGGGAAAGGCUAAUAGGAAAUAAAAGAGAGAUUUUGGUAUUCUA